AUUGAACGCUGGCGGCAUGCCUUACACAUGCAAGUCGAACGGCAGCACGGGUGCUUGCACCUGGUGGCGAGUGGCGAACGGGUGAGUAAUACAUCGGAACAUGUCCUGUAGUGGGGGAUAGCCCGGCGAAAGCCGGAUUAAUACCGCAUACGAUCUACGGAUGAAAGCGGGGGACCUUCGGGCCUCGCGCUAUAGGGUUGGCCGAUGGCUGAUUAGCUAGUUGGUGGGGUAACGGCCUACCAAGGCGACGAUCAGUAGCUGGUCUGAGAGGACGACCAGCCACAGUGGGGAGAAGAACGGCCACGGAUCCAUCGGGGAGGAAGCAGGGGGAAUGUUUGAAAAAGGGGAGAAGGCUUAAUCCAAAAAUGCCGCGUGGGAAAAGAAGGCUUUGGGUUUUAAAAGCAUUUUUGCCGGAAAAGAAAUACUGGCCCCUAAUAGGGGCGGGGGAUGACGGGACCGGAAAAAAAGGCCCCGGCUAACUCCGAC
rnacentral:rRNA from 1 species